CAGACGAACUAUGCUCAUAUUUAUAAUUCCAAACAGUCAGUUAGCGGCAGGUGCUUGGAAACGCUGUUUUGUACUCAUUUAUUGACGAAUCUGCUGCGGUACGGCCAACUGAAUGCGGUGCUUCUCUGCCGGUCACUGCACAGAACAGACGCAGAGAGACGCUGCGCCGCCGCCGGGAGAGUCAGCAGAGAGUCUCGCGGGGCAGCACUGGCGACAUCUUCCAACUGAACCAUAGCUAAGGCUUAUCCAAAAAAGUCGCUAGGAGGGAGAACAAUGGCUUGGCGAGAUGUUCUUGAUCCUGAAGUUUGUGGGACUUUAGAAGACUUGGAAUGCAGCAGACAGUAACUACUUUUAUGGUGGUGUAGUAGUCCUGGCUCUGGUCUGAUAACCCACAGGUCUUGCGUUUGAGCCCUUGAGAGCUGCACACUUCCCUUAUCAGCACUGUGCUCUUGAGCAAGGCACUUAACAUGACAACUGCUCCAGGGAACUGCUCCUCUAAUAUGUCAUUUGCUUUGGACAAGAAGUUCCUGGUCCUGUCCUUGACUGGAGCUGUCACUGUUUUACAGUUCAUUUAAAACACCACAGAUUGGCUGCUGGUUACCAGAGCAAUCAUACCGGAAUAAGCUGCCUGAAUGGAUACUUAACCUGCACACCCCAACCGGCCUCCCGUAUCACACCACGAGCGUCCUGUAACGAUGUUCUGGGGAGUGGAAAUGGAUAACAUUAUUAAUCGGGAUAAAAGUGAAGCAGCUGGAAGUUUAGUUUGGAAUAUUGAUGUCCAAUUAUUAAUUUUAAUACACAUUCAUUGUAUAGAGAUACUGGAACGUACAGAUUGGUGAGAUCCUGGAUUGCUGACCUGCUGAAUCGCAGGAGGAUCAAAUGGAAAUCAGUUUUUACAGCCAAGCAGUGUAAUUCCCAUCCAACGAUCGGCAUGCAAUUGAUAGCCUAGCUCAUUCUCCGACUAUUGAUUACUCAUCGAAAGCCAUUCCUCUGGAUAAUGAUUCAUUCAAGUGGGGAUUUAAGAGCUGCUUCCACAAAUCUGGAACGAGAGAUGCCAUGUUGCUUCAUCAUGUCACGUGUUGAAGAUCCGCUUGGUCUGGCCGUCUUAUUACAUUCCUUCAUUUUCAGCCACCAUCAUCUCCUUCAUAUUCAAAUCUUACAAAUAUCACACAGUUUAAAAGUUAAACUCACCAGACAUGGCAUUCAAUUUCCUGUACAUACAAAUCUUUUUGCUUUCACAUGUGCUUUCAUUUUUUUUAAUCACACUCUUCAGAAAAACAUUCAUUUGAAUGCUUAUUCAGCAGUGUAUCUAUUGAAAUCAACAUGAUGAAUAUUUUAAAUGAUUAAUUGGUGUUAUUCCACUUUUUGGUUUGCUAGUCUGCUCCAUCUUUAAAGCAAAAUUCCUUUGUGGUUGACGUCAAAACCAUUUAAUUUAUUUUUGGACACUUAUUUGUUUAGGACCAUUUAGUACAUACCGGAAGUAACAGUAGAGGAGAGAGAGAAAUGGGAUCAGAAAAGAAUCUUAUUUAACAUUUAUGCAUUUAGUAGGCACUUUUAUCCAAAGCAACUUACAGUAGAGAGACAAAAACAAUUUAUCACAGAGCCAACUAUAUUCUUAAUAUACAGACCUCAAGCUAUGACUCAAAAAAAUUUAUAAAUCAAAUAAAUCAAAUCCUGCCCUACAGUUUUUUAGCUUAACAGGCUAAACAUUUGAAUUGGCUUCACUUUCAACAAAGUUUUUUCUGAUGAAUAGGAGGCUUGACUUGGAAAAAUAUGCCAAUUAUAAAAAACACUCGAUUUAUAUAAACAAAUCGAAGGGAACUUUUCCAAAAGACAGAAUGUGUCAGUAAUCCAAGUUAAAACUGCCUUGUUGGCAGUGCUUUGACAUAUAGCCAAAGACUUAUAAUACUAUGAAACUGCAGCAUGCAAUAUGGCUGAAGAAGUCCUGUCUUCUAAAUAAAGCCAAAUGACAGUUGGUAAAGCUCCAUUUGACACAGCUACUUUUCCAAUGCUGGGUAGUAACUGAUUGCAUAUUAUCUGGAUUACGUAAUCAGAUUACAAAAAUUAAGGACUAUAGAGAUUAUAUUACAUUUGAAAAUAUUCGUAAUCAGACUACGGUUUAAUUUUUAUUGAUUACAUGACUACAUAUUAUUCACACAAUAGCGGUUCAUUAAUUCUCCCUAAUUAUUCUUGUUCAUCCGUAAAAGUGUUAUUUCAACAUUUCAACCUUGUUAUUGUUACCUUGUGAUGUUCCUUAAUCAAUUUGUCAUUCGUCCCUUCCAUGUUAAACAGGUUUUUUGUACUAUAAAAAUGAAAACUAAUUUCACUAAUCAUGA